rnacentral:rRNA from 1 species
UACGGAGGAUGCGAGCGUUAUCCGGAUUUAUCGGGUUUAAAGGGUGCGUAGGCGGGCUUUUAAGUCAGCGGUAAAAAUUCGGGGCUCAACCCCGUCCGGCCGUUGAAACUGGGGGUCUUGAGUGGGCGAGAAGAAGGCGGAAUGCGUGGUGUAGCGGUGAAAUGCAUAGAUAUCACGCAGAACCCCGAUUGCGAAGGCAGCCUUCCGGCGCCCUACUGACGCUGAGGCACGAAAGUGCGGGGAUCGAACAGG